CACAAAUAUUCAGAAAAAAAUUAAUAUUUGUCAUUUGUAUAUAUACAUCAGAAGAUAUUUAUAAGUUAUCUUUUGUUUUUUAAAUGUCAAAUUUUUAUAUUUAACAAAAUUUUUAUCAUAGUUAUUCAUGUUUGCACCCUUAUGACCGAUCGUAAGACGCCCCUGUACAAUUCUAAAAUUCUUUACACAUAUACAAGAAAUGUAACAUAUGUGUGCGAUUUUUUCAUACUUUCUUCGUCCUGAAGUCGAUAGGCCAGCGCUCCAUCCUCGUGCACCAACCAUUCGCGGCACACUGUAACAACACCACGGCAAGUACGACUCUGUGACAGGAGGCGUCUUUAUGAUGGAAAAGAAAAAGAACCAAUAUCCUACCCUCGUUAACGCGACCUGCUUUUGGAUCAUCGAUGCUGUCCGGUUUGUAUUUACAACCACCUUGCGCGAGAGCAGUCACGACGUUGUUUUCUCUCCAUCUUGGAACGGCAAGCUGCCAGACGAAUGAAUAACGUGCGACUACGUUCACACGCGACAUAUAUAUACAUAC